rnacentral:misc_RNA from 1 species
AUAGAAACUGACAUUGAAGUAGCAGUAGCCAUGUCUAUUUAAAAGCAUCGGUACACAGAAGAGAAGAAGAAUUGGAAGCAAGCGCUUAAGAAAAAUCAAGCGAACCGGAACAAAACCUCGUUCGUCUGGAAAUACAAAGAUGCAACAGAUACAUAAACAUAUUCGGCCGGAGAGAGAUGGUAAAAUCACAGCGAGUGAAGAGGAUCAAAAGAUGAUUAGCAUUCAAAGCUACUGCUGCUGCGAUUGCGGUCGGGCGAAAAUUGUAGAAUUCAGAGAAAUUAGUGAGCAGGAAGGAUAAGCCAAUGGUGUGGAGCAAGCGAGCGAAUAUGAGAGAGAGAAAGAGAGCCAACAAAAUGGCAAGGAGAUAAUCUAGAGAGAGAGAG